rnacentral:rRNA from 1 species
GAGCGAUCGUAGCAAUACGGGAGCGGCAAACGGGGUAGGAAUACCUCGGAACAUACCCUCAGGUCGGGGAUAGCGGCGGGAAACUGCCGGUAAUACCCGAUGAUAUCGAGAGAUCAAAGGUUUACUGCCUGGGGAGUGGCCGAGGCGAUAUUAGCUAGUUGGUGAGGUAAUGGCUCACCAAGGCAUAGAUGUCUAGGGGGCGUGAGAGCGCGACCCCCACCACUGGGACUGAGAAACUGCCCAGACACCUACGGGUGGCUGCAGUCGAGAAUCUUCGUCAAUGGGGGAAACCCUGAACGAGCGACGCCGCGUGUGGGAUGAAGGCCUUUGGGUUGUAAACCACUGUCAGGGGGGAUGAAACCGCAAGGUUGACAGAGCCCCAGAGGAAGCACGGGCUAAGUUCGUGCCAGCAGCCGCG